rnacentral:rRNA from 1 species
UUGUCGUCAGCUCGUGUCGUGAGAUGUUGGGUUAAGUCCCGUAACGAGCGCAACCCUUGUCCUUAGUUACCAGCACGUUAUGGUGGGCACUCUAAGGAGACUGCCGGUGACAAACCGGAGGAAGGUGGGGAUGACGUCAAGUCAUCAUGGCCCUUACGGCCUGGGCUACACACGUGCUACAAUGGUCGGUACAAAGGGUUGCCAAGCCGCGAGGUGGAGCUAAUCCCAUAAAACCGAUCGUAGUCCGGAUCGCAGUCUGCAACUCGACUGCGUGAAGUCGGAAUCGCUAGUAAUCGUGAAUCAGAAUGUCACGGUGAAUACGUUCCCGGGCCUU